CAUAAAACACGCACGCUCCGACCCUAAAGCAAAAACGCGAGACAUUGAGACUGUUGGUGCGAAAUCAGACUCAAGAGUGAAUUGUCGGUUCGCAUUCGAAGAGGUGAUUCGCUCCUCUCCCUCCCUCUCUCUCUCUGGUUUGCGAGAUUACACCAUCAAUCAACCUACUCAUUUGGUCGUGAGUGCUAUUACUUUCCUGGAAAUCUGUUUCAGUGGAUUUUAGGUUCAUAUCCAAACAGAUAAUUAGCUGAACCACUUCAGUCGUAGCAAUGAGAAGAUCACGCAAUGUGAUUGUUGCCACUGGCCUUGUGGCUUUUGCUUGUGCGGGCUUAGCAUUUCCCUUUUACAUGGUCACACCAAGGUCAAAGCCUGUGAUUGACUCUUCAAAACCACUGCCACCCCAGGCUAUUAUCAGGGGGCCGUACAUCAACACAGGAUCACGUGACAUCGGGCCUGACAGCCAGACAUACCCUAAGAAGUGAAUCAUUUUUGAAAUAUCUGCUCUUGGAGUAGUUUAGGAAAUAUAUUUGAUAACAAAGAAGAGAUACUGAAGCAGUAAUUGGGACAGUAUUGCUAAAAUAAAUAUUAGUUUUCUUGGAAGCUUGUUUGUAGAACUGCCGUACAUAUCAGCGAAGCUCUUCCUGCCUCUCUGCUUUCGACUGACCUUUGUUGUUUAGUGCCCCACCACCACCUCUUUGGCUCUUUCCCUUGCUGGUAAAACAUACUUGUGGUUCGGUAUAUUCAUGGUUAAAAGUAUUAUUAAAUUGCAUUUAUGAGAGCUGACUUAACAAGUUCCGAAGAAAGCAAAUUAGUAUUGCGAUGUCAAAUUUUCUUCCUUGGUUUCAUCGGGCAAUGGAAUCGUGUCCCUUUCGCGAGGCUGCGAUGAUAGUAAGUUUAUGCUUAUUGGUUUUAAUCAUGUUUAGUGUAGUUGCCUGCUGAUUAGAGCAUAAUCUUGA